rnacentral:lncRNA from 1 species
CUACAAGUGACAUGCCAAUGGGCAGUUUAGCAAAAGCUGGAAGUGCCUUGACAUUUACAGUACACUGAAACAGUGGCUGGCUUGAAAAAUCCCAAAACGAUUUUCUGCAGGAGAGCCCUUUUGACUAAUAUGAGAAUGUUUACGUGUGAAUCAACUAGAGGAAUGAAGAUCACCUAAAGACAAAACAGGACCUUUGUAUACAUCUUCUGGGAAGGAGUUGUUAUCAUUUCCACAAAGCCAAUUGCAUCAUUCGGAUAUAAACAUUAUAUUGUUGUCUUUAUUUGGAAGUAAAAUAUAUUUUAAAGAGAUGUGAAUGAUUAUAAAGAUUAUAAUAGGUAUACUGUGAUGACUUUGUCAAACGUUAACUUGACUAGGCUGAAUGAUAUUUCCUAGAAUUCCCUUUCCUUUGUUUUGUAUUAAGGAGGGAAUAUUUUCUGGUAGACCAUGUAAUAGAGAUAGAAGAUCUUCUUUUUUACGCAUUCAUUCAUUAUUACAGUUUAAUGAAUCUUAAAUGAAAAAAAAAAACCCUCUUCCAGAAGCAUUUACUAACACUUUCAGGUAUAUGAGAAUGGAAUAAUUUUCAGAAACUGGGAUUUCUGUAUUUUCCCUGUUUGCUAUUUCAGACCAAUUCCCUACCCUUCUCCAUCCUUCUCCAUGCACUGGGAAACCGACUUUUAUAGACUGCAAAAGCAUGCUCUCUUACACUUUGGUUUCUUAUUGAGGUCAAGUAAUAAAAAUAACUGCCAAAAA